UGUUUCAGGUGGCACCCUACGAUAGAAGGGAGUUCCCUAUCGGUGAUGAAACAUAUGAAAAGAUGCUUGAGCAUAUGCCCGAGAAUCAUCAGUUCCAAACUAAUGCUCAUUCGCAGGAUUCGGCAGAAUAUGAGGGAGCAGCUGGCUACAUGGAUCGAAAAGUCGAUUCUCCCGAUAGCGAGUCUACAGAGUCCGCUAUUGGAGAAGGAGAAGAAGAUCCCAAUGAUCCCGAAUGGAUAGAUAUGGAGAGGAUCAACAGGGAUCGUUAUAAAAGAUAGAAUAUAUUACUUGUUUAGGACCUGAUUAUAUGGUUUAAAACUAUCCCAGUGAGAAUGAUGGGCUCUGAUUUGAAGUUUAUCUGAUAUUAUUUGAAACUGUCAGUUAGAGCACGAGACCCCAUCAAAAAAGUUUGUAAUUAUUUUGACUUUUUUUAUGGAGUUUAUUAUACAGGUACAUUACUAGUAUUGUGUAGUAUUGACAUUACUUUGCUUGCAGAAUUAGUUCUGAUCUGCGGCAUUUAAUUUUGUUAACUGUGAAAAUUGUUGAAAAUUAAAUUGGUACUCUUCAUAAGAGUAAUAUGUAUCAUAAGAUAGUGUUAUUGUAUUUGUUAUUUUGGUUAAACUAAUUUUACAUAAUCUACCACAAAGUUUCCUGUAUAAUGUUAUAUCUUGUAAAUUAUAUUGAAUAAAUAAGUGAAAAGAAAACAUUAUUUAUUUUUAAAACAUUAAAUGUUGGCAAGAAAUUUCAAGUUACCCGCACCUAUCUAGUUGGUACAUGAAUUUUUAUAUCUGAAUAUGUUUUAAUAUUACAUGAUACAAAUAAAUUGUAACUCAUUGA